CCCUGUGGCUCAGUUGGUAGAGCAUGGUGUUUGCAACGCCAUGCAACGCUAGGGUUGUGGGUUUGAUUCCCACAGGGG
rnacentral:tRNA from 1 species